rnacentral:rRNA from 1 species
UACGAAGGGGGCUAGCGUUGCUCGGAAUGACUGGGCGUAAAGGGCGCGUAGGCGGAUUGCUUUGUCAGACGUGAAAUUCCAGGGCUCAACCUUGGGGCUGCGUUUGAGACGGGUGAUCUUGAGUGGAGAAGAGGGUCGUGGAAUUCCCAGUGUAGAGGUGAAAUUCGUAGAUAUUGGGAAGAACACCGGUGGCGAAGGCGGCGACCUGGUCUUUUACUGAGCUGAGGCGCGAAAGCGUGGGGAGCGAACAGG